CAGGAAGCAUGUUCACACUGGAGCUGCAGCUAUGCGACAAACUUACCAAACCUGCUUGACUGGAAGCCAGAAACGCUGAUGGAGAACAAACUGCAUCUGGCAAAAUGAAUUCUCAAUAAGAAACCAGUAAGCAAUGUUGUUGAUGAUUCUUUUCUCAGGAGACUUUCCAAGAACACCGAUUCAUUCUCGUGAGAGAGAAAGAACAUCAACAGCAACAGCCAUUUCAGCAUGUAAAUAAGCAACAGAAUAUAGCCAGCCGUUCAUGGACAUUCUCCUGAGAAACCAACAACCACCACGACAUUGUGCCUUUCAAUUGUGGCUGCUCAUGACCUUCAUGAGUGAUAAUCAGCCUACAUUUGUCCUGUCAGAAUGACCCGGUGUAACCUAAUUAGCAGACAAGACUGUGAAGAGGCACAACUCCUCAGGGGUUUCAGAUGGUUUAGGUCCUCCAGCUGCAGGCUUCCUCCUAGAGAGGGAGGAAGAGAACCAGUCCUGAUAACAUCAAACCCAGUGGUACUAACCUAUAUAUGCCAGGUGAGGGGGUUGGCCCAUCCAUGCCUCCUCUUCCACAAUAGAAGGAUAAACAGACCACUCCCCCCAGGCAGCUACAUCCCUCUCUCCCCCUCUCUAUUCUCUACUCUCCGCCCAUCUGAUUUUCCUCCCUUAAACUAGAUGACAUAGCGUAGAGAGCUGCCAGAGAACCUUCUCGCCUGUUGGACUCACAGCCUUUCUCCCAGCCUCCACGCCAGACUGUCUGUGACCUCCAGAGCAGAAUCUACCCAUCCAUCUAUCCAUUAAUCCAUCCACCCCUCUGGAGCAGACCUAUGUAGCUGAACCAACAACCACCACAGCACAGCGAGGGCUAAGCAGGGGGGUGUAACGAUCCACCAAACCAUCUCCAUCACUGGUCUUCCUGAGGACACCUCCAGAAUUACCCACUUAACUGAAGAGCUUUGCCCAGAAUUGGUCACUCUGCCUGGGGCAUUUGCAGCCUCAACCCAGCCUCUCCAUGUCGAGUGAAACCAUGGACCUGGUCAACAACCGCGGCCUCAACCUGAUGCUCAACUUCCUCCUCAUCGUCAUCAUGCUGCUCCUCAUGCUUGUCCUGGUCAAACUCAUGUAACCUCUGACAUACAGUAUGACCUCAUGGCAUAGGUUGAGCAACUCCAGUCCCCAAGGGCCACAGGGUCUGAUGGGAGUCCCUCUACCUCUGAUUUGAUCAUAUAAACACACCAUGGCUUCAACUAAUUAUUAUUCAACAGUUCACAUCAAAAAUCACUGAAGAAAGGCCAUUGAACCUGUUGGGAGUAGAACUAAACAUUGUGAGCUUUUGGAGAGUAGAAAAGAGUUUGGGAUUCCAUGAGAUCGUUGCAUGGGAUGGCAAGAUUCAAAAUAUCAAUUAACAGGAGGAUGAAACUCCACCCACCGAUGGUAAAGAAUAGAACGCCCUCCUUUACGUUUAGUUUACCUCCCUCUAGUGGUAGAAUCCCCAAACUGCACCACAUCUACUUCUGGCCAGGGCACUGAGCACAGAGAUACAUCCAUGCUCUCUGUUCCUCAUUCUCGAGUUGUGGUUGAUAUGAGCCAUAGAGAACAAUCAUUUUGAAAGCUUUAACGCUCACAGUCACCGACUAUUCUAAGCUAUUAGGACCAAAGCACAUGUUACAAAUGACAACUGAAAUGCAACUGAAAAUGGUUAAAGCCAGACACCGACCGUCCUUUUCCGUGUGUUAUGAGUUGUUUAUGUAACUGUUGAGUGAAGCCUAGGCUCCUUCCCUUUGGAGACUCAGGUUGCUCUUGAACUAGUAGCUGAUAAGUACAACAGAUACUUGGCUCAAUAAACAUGGGUACGUAACAGCCUAAGCAUGUAAACCUUUCAGUGAAAUAUGUAAUAUUGUUACUACAAUAUCCGAACAUAACUGUGUGCUGUAGUGAAAAUGUUUUCGUGUUCAGUAGUAGAGGUUGGUUUGUUUUGGCAGAGUAAUGAACAGAGUAAAUAGAGCAAACACCUCCAGCUAAACACAGGGAAGCCCUCUGCAGUGUGAAGAAACAUGCACGACCACUGCAGAACUGUUGUAGUGUUGUCUGUCUGCAGGCGCUGGCUCCACUUUACACUUUCUUAUGUCGCACAGCAUUUUCUAAAGAAUGUUAUAAAAUAAAGAUAAAAUACACAAACUAUAAA